AAAAGGAUCAGUCCCAACCAUACGGGACCCAGCAACUGCACCCGAGCCACAGUCUUUAGAUUUGGUUUUCGUCUCUCAAGGUUGCCUGUGGAGAUAAAACGGCCGUGCCCACUAGGUGAGAGAGUCAGCCCCGUGAACUGUCUCCGGCAGGAGGUCACCGGGACUGGCAGUUAUUUUACGGACUCCUUUAUGGCUGUCGCGGAGCAUCCAAAAGAGGCUGAAAGGUGAUGUUGCUGUCUGCACAUCGAAGCCAGGAGGGGAAACUCGGGUGAAGCGUUGUUUCAGUCUGUUAAUCUGUCUGUCAUGCAUGAUAUUUCCCAGAGGCAAUAUCUUAUGUAACACUGUUACAUGGAUGGAUGAUGCAUUUUGGGCCUACUGUAUGUUCUGGAU